CCUGGAAUAUAAAUCCCUAAGGUAGAUUGCAUCACCAUCUCACCUAGUUCAGUUUGAAGCUUAAAGAUCUUUUUUCCUUUCUCAUAGCUACUUCCAAAUGCAGUUCGAGAAAUCACAUCAGCAGUCAUAUUUUGUAGGUUGCUUUGGAUUUUGAAGACAGUCCCUAAAAAGUAAAUAAGGAAACGAAGAUACUCAAAGAAGUCCAUCAGCGAGCAACUUGGCAAGGGGAUUCAAACUAGCAGUUGGCUUUUGGUAAUCAUUGAUCAAUGAGAACACAGUUUUAAGUUGUUCAGGGUCCAUGAUGUGUACUCUUGGCAUGGGGCCAAUCCACAUGAAUGAAUUCUUGCCUGCAUAUAUUCCAAAAUUAUAUGUGACUUUAACCAACAGAAGCAUAUUGGGUGUUGAAUAAAUCAUUCAACAUAAGCACUGGACUUCACAGGGAAUACAACUAUGAGAAAAUAAACAACACUUCAAAAGUAAAAUAUUAGGUUUUUUUUGUUUUGUUAGUGAGUUGAAAUUGAAUUCUGAGAUGGUAAACUUGAGCAAGUGAUUGUCAUUCAAUGGGCAGCAGAGUGACUUCUUUGUUUUCAUCCCUAAUCACCUUUUAUUUCCUAUCUCCACAAAAUCUCUCAUUUCAUUUUAUAACCAUAUGUCACUUUUGUAUUUAAGGAGUGCAAUAUAAAUAAAUUAUGUACAAUUUUGUAA